rnacentral:rRNA from 1 species
AUGUAUACACUAUACAAUGAUGCUACUGGUACACUGCCGCUACAUCGCUGCGAUUUGCACGGCCGUAUAAAAUGCUUUCACAGAGUUAAUACAGUUUCACUUGGAGAAGAAGAAGAAUCAGAGAGACAGAAAGGUACAGAAGCAGCAAAGGACGGCCGACAGCUACUUGUACGAUUCGAUUGGCGACUUCAGGCGAUGGCGACGGCUCGGGAGGCCGGCGCCGGCGAGGGCGGCAGGCGCGAGUUGAAGUUCCGGUACGGGAAGGCCGCGUCCUCUGCUUCCGCGCCGUCGUCGAAGUUGAGCGCGUAG